GGUCAUAGCUCAGUGGUAGAGCACCUGCUUAGCAUGCAUGAGGUCCUGGGUUCAAUCCCCAGUAUUUCCA
rnacentral:tRNA from 1 species